rnacentral:rRNA from 1 species
UACGUAGGGUGCAAGCGUUGUCCGGAAUUAUUGGGCGUAAAGAGCUCGUAGGCGGUCUGUCGCGUCUGCUGUGAAAACCCGGAGCUCAACUCCGGGCCUGCAGUCGAUACGGGCAGCUAGAAUUCGGUAGGGGAGACUGGAAUUCCUGGUGUAGCGGUGAAAUGCGCAGAUAUCAGGAGGAACACCGGUGGCGAAGGCGGGUCUCUGGGCCGAAAUUGACGCUGGAGGAGCGAAAGCGUGGGGAGCAAACAGG